AUUGAACGCUGGCGGCAUGCCUUACACAUGCAAGUCGAACGGCAGCGCGGGGCAACCUGGCGGCGAGUGGCGAACGGGUGAGUAAUAUAUCGGAACAUACCCUAGAGUGGGGGAUAACGUAGCGAAAGUUACGCUAAUACCGCAUACGCACUAAGGUGGAAAGUGGGGGAUUCGCAAGAACCUCAUGCUCAUGGAGUGGCCGAUAUCUGAUUAGCUAGUUGGUGAGGUAAAGGCUCACCAAGGCGACGAUCAGUAGCUGGUUUGAGAGAACGACCAGCCACACUGGAACUGAGACACGGUCCAGACUCCUACGGGAGGCAGCAGUGGGGAAUUUGGACAAUGGGGGCAACCCUGAUCCAGCAAUGCCGCGUGAGUGAAGAAGGCC
rnacentral:rRNA from 1 species